AUGGAUCGUCUAGUGCACCUUGAUCUUAGCAUGAAUUACCUAGAGGGCCGAGGUGGCCACAUGCCGGAGUUCUUGCCCUCUUUGACGAGAUUGAGAUAUCUCAACCUCUCUCGCAUACCAUUUUCUGGCAGAGUGCCCCCUCGGCUCGGUAAGCUCUCAAACCUGCAGCAUCUUGACCUCUCAUGCUAUGGUAUGCUCAAGAGACAUUUCAUGGGUAGCACGCAUUCCUAA
rnacentral:rRNA from 1 species